GCCCGAGAAGUUUGAUAAAGUUGCGGUAAAGUCUCUGGAUAGAGUUUAAAGCGGUGAAUGUCUGAAUGGUUGGUUGGUGUGACUCGGUUCGACCCCGGGGACGGACGCUCCCUCUGCCGGGGAACAUGUCUACAGUCCUCGGUCUCAGAGCGCCGGGGAACCGGAGACACACCGCGGCGGCGGAGGACUAGAUCUCCGGGAGAACGAGGAGGAGCCUGACCGUGUCCGAGAGCAACAAGCUCGGUCAGUGUCAGCCCCAGAGUCCGGUCACACAGAGCAGAUGUUCAGCAUCAGCUGGUGAUUGAAGAAGAGGUUUCCCCUGGUUGACCCAGAGAGCCCACACAUUAAAGAGGACCAGGAGGAACUCUGGACCAAUCAGGAGGGAGAGCAGCUUGAAGGGCUGGAGGAGGCUGAUAACACAAGAUCCCACUGACUCCUGUUGAUAUGAAGAGCCGGACUGAGGAGAGCAGAGAGGCAGAAGCUGAUGGAGGAUCUGGACUUCGAUCUUGAAGCAGGUACCGCUGGACCCCAGACUCCUCUGAGCCUGAGGACGGUGAGGAAGACCACAACACCUGAGACAGGUUUGACAGGAAAUGAAGUCCACGUUAGUGACACAGGAUGUGAUGCUGGUGAGCUCUCAGCUGCUCUGAUCUGCUGAUGCGUUAAAAUCCAACCGGAGUGAAACCAUUUACUUUCAGCUGUUGUGGGAACAGAUUUACGCAGCAGGAGCGUCGCAGGAGGAAACUGUGACCAUCAGGGGCAUCUGAAAAGCUUUAUGUUAGCUUUAGCUUUAGCUUUAGGCAACAGGAGGAUCUCAGGGAGCAUGAGGGGGUCCAUGUGGGGGAGGAAGCAGGUGUUUGUGAUGUUUGAGGAACAGAUUUAAGAGUCUGUGUGAGAGAGAAGCAGCUGUUCGUGGUGAAAGGUUCAGUAACAGACGUGAAGACGAGCGCGACGCCUGCAGCACCAACUGCAGCUGAACUCCAGCAGCUCGUUACAGCAAAGUUCAAACGAGAGCAGACGUCGAAUUUACAGCUGAGGUGUGUGCCGCAGCCGUGCCGUCAUUGGUGGAAAGGCUCUGCGCCCUGGUCGGUGAUUGGCUGCAGCCCCUGGUCACCUGAUAUAUAAGGAGCCAAGAUGGCCGCCGGCUCGUCGUCUCAUUCUCCUCUUCUCCCAGCCGGCCACUCUGUUGCAGUGACUCAGCUUUGUGUAGUUCUUAGGUUGGUUUGAAUAGUAAGUGAGCUGCCAGUUUUGUUUCUCAGGUUUUCUCCUGUUUAUCUAGUUAGGCAGGUGAGUUUGUUGUCAUUUGUUUUCCUUUGGUUAGAUUAGUUGUUUACUUUCCAGACAGGGUUAUCAUGUUUAUUAUGUUGACCUUCGUCCACCCUGAAGCCUAAACUCAGUAUUUAUUUUCUCUGUUCACUUAAAACCUUUAUGUAAAUAAAUCACUUUGGUUAUAUUUAAACUAAUCUUUGUUGUGGCUACUUGGGACUUGGGGAAGAUGGAGCCA